rfam:Myotis lucifugus cont2.43917, whole genome shotgun sequence.
UUUUUAGUAAAAGUAUGUCCCAUGCAAUAUUUGGGACAUACUUAUACAAAAA